rfam:Rhizoctonia solani AG-1 IA unplaced genomic scaffold scaffold47, whole genome shotgun sequence.
GCUCCGAUAGCUUAGUGGUGAAAGCACUAUUGUGAAGUAAUAGUGACGGGCGUUCGAUUCUCUCUCGGAGCA